rnacentral:lncRNA from 1 species
CACCUUUAUUUUUAAGAGUGUAUAUAAUGACAUCUGUAGAUGGUAAGAAAAAAGUUAAAUUUGGAUGACUCAAUACGUAUGAUGUCACGUUACACGUGACCUAAAGCAAAUACUUCCGCAUAGACAGUGGAAAAAGAAUGGCCUUUGCAAUUGACCAAAACGAAAAGGUUUCAGUUGAGUGUCAGGAUAAUCCAUAUGGAUUUAAUGGUGUGGUGGUGUAUGGAGAUGGCAUGACCUCAAGAUGUAUCCCAGAUAUGACUGGCUACAAUCAAUACCUAACUAGACGUGGAAAUGGCUUUAGUGCUGGAGUCAAUAAUGCAGACAAUCUUAAUGACGCUCGAGCAUCGCAUCAAAUGCUGCCAGUGAAUGUUUCACUGACCGUAUCUGCUAUAUCGGCCCCAAUGAACACUCGCAACCAACUAGGAGGUCGUCACAUGGACCCAUAUUUCACUUAUGGUUAUGCAUUAGCACCCGUUUAUGGAUGUGGCGGGAACAGGUAUCCGCUUUGGGAUAGAGAUGAACAACAUGAGGAGGAAGAGGGGAAUUUGCGUCUUAAGGAGAAAAAGAAGAAAGCAGGAAGAAGAAGGAGGAAAAGAUCCCGCCAUACUGGUCAUUAGAAGGGCAAAACAUCUGACCAGCAUAUAAAUAAAUAAAUAGGCCUAAACCAUUGUAAUUGCAAUGUAUUCAUAAGAAUUUCUCUGUAUUUGUUGUACACCAUGC